UUCAGGAUGAGUUUAAAGAUGAAUAUUUGAUGAAUAACUCACGUUUCUUGCUAUGAGCUCAGUCUUUUACGUUGUUGUUCAGCAUCAGUUGUGGAGAUCAGAUUGAUCAGAUUCACCUCUGCAGCUUCAUCAUGGAUCAAACACAAACAUCAACACAUGAAGAUUUUUCUCCAGGAUGCAGUUCAGAUCACCAGAAGAGAUCAGAUUCAGAGUUCAGCUGUGUGUCUAUGAAGAGUGAUUGGUCUAUGAAUCAUCCAAUAGAGUUUAAGAAUGAAGAGACAAGACCCGCACACAG